UCCCUUCCAAGUAGAACACGUGAAAUGUGAAAGCAGGGGUUUGAAGAAGUGUGAAAUCCUUCAUUUUAUUGGUCAAGCUGGUGCAACGCUACCAUUUAUACCAUGCUGCUGCAUGCACCAUGUGUGGAAGAAGAAAGAGCCUUCAAGAGGAAGAUAUUUAGAUCAUUCAUGGAGUGUUCUGAAAACAUCAAACAAGGAGAUUAUUGAAGAUAUCCUUCCUACAAAGGUGUUAAAAUUAGCAAGACUCGGAGUUCCUGUGAACGUGUUGAAACUAGCAUGAAAUGCCUUUCUCAGAACCAAAGCCAGAGUUUUACAUUUAGUCAUGACAUUCAGC